rnacentral:rRNA from 1 species
UACAGAGGCCUCAAGCGUUAGGCGGAAUCACUGGGCUUAAAGCGCGUGUAGGUGGAUUUUUAAGUGCUUUGUGAAAUCCCACGGCUCAACCGUGGAACUGCUGAGCAUACUGGAAGUCUUGGGCUAUCUAGGGGCAACCGGAACAAGCGGUGGAGCGGUGAAAUGCGUAGAUAUCGCUUGGAACGCCAAAGGUGAAGACAGGUUGCUGGAGAUAUGCCGACACUGAGACGCGAAAGCCAGGGGAGCAAACGGG